UUAAAAUAAAUACGGAAAUAGGAAAAAGAGGCUUCAGCCCCUACAUGGACCCAACGCAGUCACUGCAAAUCUCAAUUAAGAGAGGCUCUGGUGGAAGUACAGCUUUAGAGAGAAUUUGGUUGAGAGAAAGUGUGCCGACAUUGAAUAACAAUUGUACUGUUACUACACGGCACUUCCUUAAGAAAGGACGGGUUUUUUUUGUCUCACAGGAAAGUGGUUAUCUCGUGGGGACCUUUAAAAACAUUUCCAUAAUUUUCAGGCAGUUUCAUAGUGUUUAAUUGCAUGCUCGAUCGUUGGGUUGAAAGCUCAGGAUGUUCAGAUUCAGAGUAAUUUACAAAGUGGCAUUGGGCUUCUAAAGUGUUUUCACACAUCUAGACCUCAUGGCAGACCUUUUCAGCGGCUCGUGCUUUCAGUGAGGAGCUCGGCUUGCAGGCAGCAGUAAAUCGAUAGGCCUAAGCAUCGCCGACAAGCCGAGAGCGAUAAUUUGUUAAUUUAUUUACCGUCCUGAAAGAUUUAAAGUGCUUCACUGCAGAAGAAACAUGACCUUCAGAAAAACGUCUGGACAACCGAGGAUCUCAUUUGGGAAAGUCGGGAGGAAAAGAAGAAGUUGAAAGAUGUCAUGAAAGAGGCAUGUGAAAGAGGCAUGUGAAAGUGGAAAGAAGCCACGUUUUCAUCGUGGGCAAUUGUACAUAGACGGAGCUUUGUUCAAAAAUUCAUAGAUGUCUUGAUCAUUGUCAGCUAGUCUGUGGUCCCACGUCGUUCAGAGUGGAUCCAAAUUCCACAACAACUGCCGGAUUGUUUCGAUAUGUGAUCAAGUCAGUAAGAAUUCUCUUAAGAACCUGGGAUUGUUCGUAUUGUUCAAACAGGCCACCAAACAUGAUUGUGUAGGAUUUCCAAGCACCUAAAAAGAUGGAAAGGUUUUGUAAGUUGGCAUCUGUGACUGGUGCGCUGAAGGCUAUCCAUAUC